GAUGAACGCUGGCGGCGUGCCUAAUACAUGCAAGUCGAGCGAACAGAUGAGGAGCUUGCUCCUCUGACGUUAGCGGCGGACGGGUGAGUAACACGUGGAUAACCUACCUAUAAGACUGGGAUAACUUCGGGAACCCGGAGCUAAUACCGGAUAAUAUAUUGAACCGCAUGGUCCAAUAGUGAAAGACGGUUUUGCUGUCACUUAUAGAUGGAUCCGCGCCGCAUUAGCUAGUUGGUAAGGUAACGGCUUACCAAGGCAACGAUGCGUAGCCGACCUGAGAGGGUGAUCGGCCACACUGGAACUGAGACACGGUCCAGACUCCUACGGGAGGCAGCAGUAGGGAAUCUUCCGCAAUGGGCGAAAGCCUGACGGAGCAACGCCGCGUGAGUGAUGAAGGUCUUCGGAUCGUAAAACUCUGUUAUUAGGGAAGAACAAAUGUGUAAGUAACUAUGCACGUCUUGACGGUACCUAAUCAGAAAGCCACGGCUAACUACGUG
rnacentral:rRNA from 1 species